rnacentral:rRNA from 1 species
GUAGGCGGCUUGUUAAGCAAGGUGUGAAAUCGUACGGCUCAACCGUAUACACAUGCUUUGAACUGGCAAGCUAGAGAAUGAGAGAGGUUAUUGGAAUUCCAAGUGUAGGAGUGAAAUCCGUAGAUAUUUGGAGGAACACCGAUGGCGUAGGCAGAUAACUGGCUCAUUUCUGACGCUAAGGCACGAAAGCGUGGGGAGCAAACGGGAUUAGAUACCCCGGUAGUCCACGCCCUAAACGAUGGGUGCUAGCUGUAUGGAGUAUCGACCCUCUGUGUAGCGAAGCUAACGCGUUAAGCAUCCCGCCUGUGGAGUACGGUCGCAAGACUAAAACAUAAAGGAAUUGACGGGGACCCGCACAAGCGGUGGAGCGUGUUGUUUAACUCGAUGAUAAACGAAGAACCUUACCCAGGCUUGACAUCCUACUAAAGACUGCGAAAGCAGACUGUGUCUUCGGACCGUAGUGACAGGUGUUGCAUGGCCGUCGUCAGCUCGUGUCGUGAGAUGUUAGGUUAAGUCCUUCAACGAGCGCAACCCUUAUAGUUAGUUGUAUUUUUCUAGCUAGACUGCCCUGGUAACAGGGAGGAAGGAGGGGAUGAUGUCAGGUCAGUAUUACCCUUACGUCUGGGGCUACAAACACGCUACAAUGGCCGGUACAAAGCGCAGCCAACCCGCGAGGGGGAGCAAAUCGCAUCAAAGCCGGUCUCAGUUCAGAUUGCAGGCUGAAACUCGCCUGCAUGAAGCUGGAAUCGCUAGUAACGGUAGGUCAGCUAUACUACCGUGAAUACGUUCCCGGGUCUUGUACACACCGCCCGUCAAACCAUGAAAGUCGCCAAUACCUGACGUCCUAGCUUGCCUAGGCCUAAGGUAGGGGAGAUGAUUGGGGUU